rnacentral:rRNA from 1 species
AUUGAACGCUGGCGGCAGGCCUAACACAUGCAAGUCGAGCGAGCGGCGGACGGGUGAGUAAUGUCUGGGAAACUGCCUGAUGGAGGGGUAUAACUACUGGAAACGGUAGCUAAUACCGCAUACCAUCAGAUGUGCCCAGAUGGGAUUAGCUAGUAGGUGGGGUAAUGGCUCACCUAGGCGACGAUCCCUAGCUGGUCUUAGAGGAUGAACAGCCACACGGGAACUGGGAAACGGUCCAGAAUCCUACGGGAGGCAGCAGGGGGGAAUAUUGCACAAUGGGCGCAAGUCUGAUGCAGCCAUGCCGCGUGUGGGAAGAAGGACUUCGGGUUGUAAAGCACUUUCAGCGGGGAGGAGUUACCCGCAGAAGAAGCACCGGCUAACUCCGUGCCAGCAGCCGCGGUAAUUC